rnacentral:misc_RNA from 1 species
GAUGAAGAACGCAGCGAAAUGCGAUACGUAAUGUGAAUUGCAGAAUUCAGUGAAUCAUCGAGUCUUUGAACGCACAUUGCGCCCCCUGGUAUUACGGGGGGCAUGCCUGUCCGAGCGUCAUUGCUGCCCUCAAGCACGGCUUGUGUGUUGGGCCUCCGUCCUCCUCCCGGGGGACGGGCCCGAAAGGCAGCGGCGGCACCGCGUCCGGUCCUCGAGCGUAUGGGGCUUCGUCACCCGCUCUUGUAGGCCCGGCCGGCGCUUGCCGACACAUCAAUCUUUUUUCCAGGUUGACCUCGGAUCAGGUAGGGAUACCCGCUGAACUUAAGCAUAUCAAUAAGCGGAGGA